rnacentral:lncRNA from 1 species
UUUUUUUUCUUUUUUUUUUUACAGAAUAAAAUACAUACAUUUACACACAAUUACAUUCACACAGAUUAUUAUAACAUGGAUCUUAAGAAACAGAUUACAUGACUCCCACUAGGGAAGUGGAAUGGAAAAUAUGCUGAGACAAAUAGGAAAUUUAUUCUAUGCUUUAUCCCAAUUUUAUGGCUUUCAUCUUUACUACUUAGUUUUAUCUAUUACAUUUCAAUUUUUCUUUAAAAAUUAGCAUUAUAUUAAAUUGUUAUAUAAAAUUUAUAAAGAAGAAAGCUUUAUAUACCAUUAAAUAUUUUAUAUAGCAUAGUAAAAAGAAUAACUUAACUGGUAAGCAUAACAAAAAUAGUACACCCUCUGAAAAUAAGUAAAAUAUAAAAUGCAUAAGUUGGUUAAAAAACAGUGUAACUAUAUAAAUAGGUCCUCACAAUUUGUUCCAUCUCGUUGAUUCUUCAGUAAAGUCAUUACACCAUUCUAGCAUUCUAGGUGAUGUGAUAAACAAGACAUUAUAGACUUUACAUUGUAACAUGGAGAGAAAUGGUUAUUAAUAAUACAAUAGUAGAACUGUAUUAUUUAAUUGUACAGUGACAUUAUUUAAUUAUAAUUAUCAUAAGUUCUUUGAUGGAGAGGAAAUCAGAAUCAGAUGUAAGAAGACUUUAGCAUUCCAAGAAUAAUGUCAAAUGACCCCCUUCAUGGUGGAUUAUGCACUUACUUACUAUGAGAUAUAUUUCUUCUCCAGAGAUUCCUUGUUUGUGUAUCAAUUGUAGAUUUUGGUUUGCAGUUAUUCCAAAGUUUUGAUGUAAGCGUCUAUAUGUAUAUGAGAUUGUUUUAAGUUGUUGUUCUCUUAAUUGCAAGUUCAUCUCCAGUGUCCCGCAUUUGUACCCUCCUCUUCUCAUGAUUUCUGAUUUUGAUGGUAUAAUUGUGCAUGGAUGAUUUCGUAUCUUUACUGUAUAUAUGCCUUUACUGAUGAGCCUUGUCAUUUGUGGAAUUUUUGUUUCCUGUUGCUGAUCUUUUCUUUCCUGCCUAGAGAAGUUCCUUUAGUAUUUGUUGUAAGGCUGGGUUAGUGUUGCUGAAUUCUCUCAGCUUUUGCUUAUCUGAGAAGGUUUUGAUUUCUCCUUCAAAUCUGAAUGAGAGCCUUGCUGGGUAGAGUAAUCUUGGUUGGAGGUUUUUUCCUUUCAUCACGUUAAGUGUAUCAUGCCACUCCCUUCUGGACUGCAGUUUCUGCUGAAAACUCUGCUGAUAACCUUAUCGGGGUUCCCUUGUAUGUUACUUGUUUCUUUUCCCUAGCUGCUUUCAAGAUUUUCUCUUUGUCUUUAAUUUUGGUCAGUUUGAUUAUUAUGUGUCUCGGGGUGUUCCUCCUUGGGUUUAUUUUAUAUGGUACUCGUUGUGCCUCCUGGAUUUGAGUGAGUGGUUCCUUUCCCAUGUGAGGGAAAUUUUCGGCUUUUAUCUCUUGGAAUAUUUUUUCUGUCCCCUUCUCUCUCUCUUCUUCUGGCACCCCUAUAAUACGGAUGUUGGUGCGUUUAACAUUGUCCCAGAGUUCCCUGAGACUCUCUUCAUUUCUUUUCAAUCUUUUUUCUCUUUUCUGUUCUGCAUCCAUAAUUUCUUCUAAUCUGUCCUCCACCUCGCUUGUUCGUUUUUCUGCCUCCUGUAUUCUGCUAUUAGCUGCUUCUAGUGAGUUUUUUAUUUCAGUUAUUGUCUUUUGCAUCUCUUCUUGUUUAAGUUUUAUAUCUUGUUAUGUUUCUUCUAAGUUAUCCAUCUUUGCCACCAGUUUAUUUCCAAUGUCUUGCAUCAUCUUCAGCAUCUACAGUCUAAAGUCUUUUUCCUGGAGGCUGAGAAUCUCCUCAUCACUUAGCUGAUUUUCUGGGGUUUUUCCUUUCUCCCUCAUCUGAGUUAUAGUUCUCUGUCUUUUCAUUUUUAUAGGUUUUUGGUGUGGUGACCUUUUUAUAGAUAAUAGAGCUGUAGCCUCUCUUACUUCUGGUGUCUGCCCCCCUUGUGGCUGAAGUCAGUAUGGGGGCUUGCUGUAGGCUUCCUGAUGGGAGGGGCUGAUGCCUGCCCACUGGUAGGUGGAGCUGAUUCUAAUCCCUCUGGUGGGUGGGGCUUAGUCUCUGGAUGGGAUUAGGGGCUGCUGUGUGCCUGAGGCUCUUUAGGUAGCCUGUUUACUGAGGGGUGGGGCUGUGAUCCCACCUGGAUUGUUGUUUGCCCUGGGGCUUCUCAGCACUGACUGAUGGGUGGGGCCAGAUUUUCCCAAAAUGGCCACCUCCAGAGAAAGGCAACUGCUGAAUAUUCCCGAGAGCUUUGCCUUCAAUGUCCUUCCCUCACAACAAGCCACAUUCACCCCUGUUUUCCCAUGAUGUCCUCCAAGAACUGCAGUCAGGUUUGACCUAGGUUCCUGUGGAGACCUCGCUCUGCCCUGGGACCUAGUGCACGUGAAAGUCUGUGUGCGCCUUUUAAGAAUGGGGUCUCCAUUUCCCCCAGUCCUGUGGAGCUCCUGCACACAAGCCCCACUGGCCUUCAAUGCCAGAUGCUCCAGGGGCUCUUUCUCAGAGACAGAUCCCAGCAUGUUAGGGUUUGAUGUGGGGCUCAGAACUCUCACUCCUGUAGGUGAGUCUCUGUGAGCCAGUUAGUUUUCAGUCUGUGGAGCUUCCCACCCGGGAGGUAUGGGGUUGUUUAUAUUACGAAAUCACCCCUCCUACCUGUGGAUGUGGCCUCCUCUUUUUCUUCUGGAGUAUGGUAUGGGUUUCCGGUCCAUUUGGUUGGAGAUUGCUCAGUCUUUAGUUGUGAAUUUUGUUGUUUUUAGGAGAGAAGUUGAGCUCCAGUCCUUCUAUUCCGCCAUCUAAUCCCAUCUCUUAAUUACAGUUCUUUAUCGAAAGGCUUGUAUCAAGGGCUUUUCUUUCUUAAAGACACCUUCCUUUCCUUCUAGAACAUUUAAAAGACAUAAACAUUUCCAUUCUAAAUGAAAAGACACACACACAAAUAAAGUACCUGAGUCCAAAGACCAUUUUUAGCACUCUUGAAAGGCAGUUUACUUGAGUAUCGUUUUUCAAAACACACAAGUGGAUUAUAGUUGGGACUGCUCUGACCACUGACCCAGGCAAACCAUUACUUCCCUCUGGGAACCUAAGCUCUCAUGCUGCACUGAGUGCUCAUCUAAAAUGAGGAGAUGUUUGAAUUUCCCUUCCUGAUCCCAGGGAUGAAGAUGAUUGGAGAAGUCAGCUUAGGAUAGGUGGCCUGAUUUUGCUGUUUUUAUGAUUUGUAUUGAUUGUUGUGGUUAAGCCCAGUUGGUCUGUUGAGUCUCUCAAAAAUGCUUAAUUAUUCUGUCAAAAGGUUUAAUUAGGUACACAGAUGUCAUUAACCUCUUCUGAAUUGCAAUGUUGGGGUGAGCAGGAUCACCUAAUAAUAAUUCCUUAAAUAUAUGUAGUGCUUAUAAAGUCUGUGUGUUUUCACCCUUUCCUCUUUUUUAAAAAUUAAUUAAUUUUUGUUUGCUCUUAUUGUUAUUUCUCCAAUUCAAUUUUUUUUUCCUCCUGUACAGCAUGGUGACCCAGUUACACAUACAUGUAUAUAUUCUUUUUUCUCCCAUUAUCAUGCUCCAUCAUAAGUGACUAGACAUAGUUCUCAGCGCUACAUGGCAGGAUCUCAUCGCUAAUCCAUUCCAAAGGCAAUAGUCUGCAUCUAUUAACCCCAAGCUCCCAAUUCCUCCCACUCCCUCCCGCUCCCCCUUGGCAACCACAAGUCUCUUCUCCAAGUCCAUGAUUUUCUUUUCUGCGGAAAGGUUCCUUUGUGCCAUAUAUUAGAUUCCAGAUACAAGUGAUAUCAUAUGGUAUUCGUCUUUCUCUUUCUGACUUACUUCACUCAUGAGUCUCUAGUUCCAUCCAUGUUGCUACCCUUUCCUCUGUAGUCCUUUCCAAUAGAUCAGCGUGACCAGUAUUGGGCACCAGUAGGAGGGUAAUAAUCAAUCCUUGGCAUGACAUUCUAGGUCUGUAACCAAGGCCUCUCUGCCAAUCUAGGUAACCUCAUCUCCUGCUCAUUGUAAACACUGGUCCUCUGGUACUGCUGAAUUGCAUGUGGUUUCUUCAGUGGGCCAUAUUCUCUGUGACUUUCCUUCUGUGCAUUCCUGACGGUAAGAAUGGUGUUAGAAAUGCCUGAGAGGGUGCGGAGAAAAGGGACCCCUCCUACACUGUUGGUGAGAAUGUAAAUUGGUACAACCACUAUGGAAAACAGUAUGGAGAUUCCUUAGAAAACUAAAUAUAGAACUCCUAUAUGAUCCAGCCAUCCCACUCCUGUGCAUAUAUACAGACAAAACUAUAAUUCAAAAAGAUACAUUCACCGCUGUAUUCAUAGUGGCAUUAUUCAGAAUAGCUGAGACAUGGAAACAACCUAAAUGUCCAUCAACAGAUAAAUGGAUAAAGAAGACAUGGUUCAGAAGUUCUCGUCGUGGCUCAGCAGUGAACAAACCUGACUAGCAUCCAUGAGGAUACAGGUUUGAUCCCUGACCUCACUCUGGGUUAAGGAUCUGGCAUUGCUGUGAACUGUGGUGUAGGUCGCAGACGUGGCUUGGUGUGGGUUGGCAGCUACAGCUCCGAUUCAAUGCCUAGCCUGGGAACUUCCAUAUACUGUAGGCACAGCCCUAGAAAGACAAAAAGACAAAAAAAAAAAAAAAAAAAAA